GCGUUAAUCGCUACUACCAAACGACUGCUGUCGUUGUAUCGAGGUGGCAGACUCAUCGGGUCUUCUGUCCUCGUGCAACGCUGGCGUCUGUGAGGAAUGC
rnacentral:misc_RNA from 1 species